CUUCCUUUAAGAUAGAAUCUUGAUAUCUGAGUCACUUUCAUUGAACUUGGGGUCAAGCAGACCUCCAUCAUAACCCAAAAACAACAACAGAACUCCUAUUUCCCCACAAAAUAAUUAUUUCUCAUUGCUUUCCUACAAAAACAGUUUAAUAAAGUUCUCUACCAAAGAUCCAAAACUCAGUUGAGUAAAUCAUGUCAAACAAAAUCAGUCCUUAUUUCAUGAAAAAGGUCACAUCUGAGUUUCUAUUUGCAACAAUUUCAUAGAGUAAGAAAGGUUCCGAUUUCAGGAAAACAAGAGAUAAUGAUUAGAUUACAGGUUUUCUCGAUUGCUAUGAUGCUUGUACAGUUUUUCACAACCACUAACAUGCUAAAACUUUUUUUUUUAACAAUGUUCACAAAGCCUUUUUCAAAGUUCCAGGUGGAAGACCAUUUACCAUUCACAUUAAAACAUACACAUCUCUCUUUGUCACCAUACUGUCACCAUUCAAUUACCAAUCUCAAAGCAUUACAAGUCCAACACUCUCAACACUAUUGUCAGUGUGUUACUUAACUUGACUAACUACUUAGUCAAGAGGUAAUCAGGAAGUUGGCUUGAAUAAAAAGGACCACAGGUGAACUCACCUUUGUUUUGGAACAAUGGAUGACAAUGUCAAAGAGAAGUAGAGGAAGAGGAAGAAAGAGAGGUGGACAUGGGAGAGGAAGAAGAACAAUAAUCUCUAAGGAGAUUUGUGACAAUGUACUGGACCAUGUUCUUGUACUUGGUGUGACAAUGAGGGUAGCAGGAAGCAGAGAGUACAGACAAACCUGAGCUGCUUUUACUGUUAAACGGUAAUUUACUGUAAAAAGUCUAUGCUGACUAUCCAUUUUUCUGUACUCUGUAUGUAUUAGCACAAGUAGAACAAUACAGGAAAAUUACAUGAACGUGAAGCUUGUAUUCAAAUUCUCUAAAAUGUAUUUAAAUGUAAAUGUGUUCCAUACACUACUUCACAUCAAAUUGAGACACCAGCGGACGAUAGUAUAAGUAGCAAUUGUGAACAUGGUUGUCAAAAACAACCUCAUUCUUUUAGAAAAUCCAAUGAAGGAAAAUAAUUCAGGAGAAUGGCAUCUUCAAAAGUAUAGAGACAGUCAGAAAGUAAGUGAAAGACUCUGGCCCAGGUUGAAUACAGUUUUUUAUCUAUUAUCUAUUGUAAAAAAUGUAAUCCAAAUGAAACUUGGGUCAAGUUUUGAUCUCCUUUUUAACCUGAUGAGCACAGCAAUGUUCUGUGUUUGCAAAACUAAAAUCUCUGAUUGCUUUCACACACUAUGUCAAUGCUAAGCACAUAUGUACUAUAAUUAGUACUAUAAUUAUUAUGAGAUAUAGUUAUACUAUAAUUAGUAUUUGUUGUAGUUAUAAUUGGUAUUAGUUAAAGUAACACCCUAAUUAAUAUUAGUUUGAACCAUAAAAGGAAGGCAAACAUGUUGCAUGACCACUUCACAGACUGAUGUGUUACAUUUAUUAACACUAUUUAACAGGUUCUGUGGUGGUUCUAUACAGUCCAGGUUCUGUAGUGGUUCUCUUCAGUCCAGGUUCUGUGGUGGUUCUCUACAGUCCAAGUUCUAUGGUGGUUCCCUUCAGUCCAGGAUAUGUGGUGGAUUUCUUCAGUCCAGGUUCUGUGGUGGUUCAAUGCAGCCCAGGUUCUGUGGUGGUUCUAUACAGUCCAGGUUCUGUGCUGGUUCUAUUCAGUCCAGGUUCUGUGGUGUUUCCCUUCAGUCCAGGUUCUUUGGUGGUUCUAUACAGUCCAUGUUCUGUGUUGAUUCUCUUCAGUCCAGGUUCUGUGGUGGUUCUCUUCAGUCCAGGUUCGGUGAUGGUUCUAUUCAGUCCAGUGUCUGUGGUGGUUCUCUUCAGUACAGGUUCUGUCAUGGUUCUCUACUGUCCAGGUUCUGUGGUGGUUCUCUACAGUCCAGUUUCUGUUUGGGUUCUCUUCAUUCCAGGUUCUGUGUUGGUUCAAUACAAUCUAGGUUCUGUGUUGGUUCUAUACAGUCCAGGUUCUGUGUUGGUUUUCUUCAGUCCAGGUUCUGUGGUGGUUCUCUUCAGUCCAGAUUCUGUGGUAGUUCUUUACAAUCCAGGUUCUGUGUUGGUUUUCUUCAGUCCAGGUUCUGUGGUGGUUCUCUUCAGUCCAGGUUCUGUGUUGGUUCUAUACAGUCCAGGUUCUGUGUUGGUUUUCUUCAGUCCAGGUUCUGUGGUGGUUCUCUUCAGUCCAGGUUCUGUGGUGGUUCUCUUCAGUCCAGAUUCUGUGGUAGUUCUUUACAAUCCAGGUUCUGUGGUGGUUCUCUUCAGUCCAGAUUCUGUGGUGGUUCUCAUAAGUUCUCAUAAACAUGG
ensembl:lncRNA